GCCGCGUCCGCCCCAAAUCUCGGCCCCUUCCCCCCACCCCAGAGGGCCGGGGAGGGCUGCCCGCACUGCCGGGCCCGACAAGCGCUCUUGACCCUCGGCCCCGGGCUCUCCUUAGGCGCGCGGGGCGCGGAGGACGCUCCCGCACGGGUGAUGGGGCUACGGGUGAGAGCGCGGCAGCCGCAACACCGCCCACCCAGCCUGCCGCAGCCGCGACCCGGCGCCCGGGAGCCGUCCCCGCCCACGGGCCGCGGCUGCCCGCACCUGGCGGCCGCGCGCCCGCCUACCUUGCUCCUUCAGGCUGGUGAUGAGCUGCAGCUGCUUCUCCUCGUCCGAGCUGUUCAUUUUGGCAGACGAGAAGCUGAGCAGCUAGAUUAACUUGCCCUGAGCCUUUCGGCUACCACAUUCAAGUGUAUUUCUGCGAUGCCACGUGGAUUAGAGGGGAGGACAGAAUUGGCCAUGCAGACUAGAGGGGAGGAGAGAAAUGGCAGGUGAACACCGGGAGAUCCACUCUGCCCCUGCCAGUGUAACGUGUGGCUUCUGUACCGAGUCAUGGCCCCUGGGGCAGUCAUCGGCACUGGUAGCCCAUAGGCCCUGUCCCUCUCCUGAGCUUCCUACAGAUAGAACUCCAGCUGCCCACAGCCCAAGAUCGCUCCAGUCACAGCAGAUGCUAUCAGAAUUCAGGGGCUGGGGGGAAGAGAGAAG